GAGGUGGGAGGAUUGCUUCAGCCCAGGGAUUGGAGGCUGCAGUGAGCUAUGAUUAUGCCACUGCACUCCAGCCUGAGUGACAGAGUGAGACACUGUCU
rnacentral:miRNA from 1 species